AUAUUUUGAUGCUUUGGGUUGACUGAUUGAGCUAAUAACCCUUUUGCUAAAGACACUUGAUAUAGCUCCAAGUACAACGGGGCUUAAGAGAGAUGUGCACCUGUCUCUGUUUAUGCAAGGCAAACAUUGCACCCCAUACAAAAUUAUUGUAUGAUUUGUAUUUCUCUAUUAGCAUGCCUCCAGGAAUAAGCCAUGAACAGGGACGUGGCAUUCUCUCCUUCGGGUCCUUGUUAAAAAAGUUCACAGUUACAACACAACCAUAUUUGUAUUCCAGGUAGUAUUUUUUGAUGCUAAACGGCUGGGUAUUUGGGUUUUAUGCUUAUUGUUAGAUCAAUCGUGCACUUUCUAUUGUUCAGGCAGGAGACCUCUGGCUCUGGAUCCCUAAAAUCUUUUUCAGCCUCCCUCCAUUUUCAUCUUGGAAAGACUGCACAAUGCAAUGAGCUGUACAG